rnacentral:lncRNA from 1 species
AAUAACUUGUAACGUCCCAAAAGUCUUACACGGGUGAAAAAAUAAUUCUGAUUAGAAUAUAUGAGGUAUACACGCUAGUAAUAAUAACCGGGCUUAAGUAUUUUCGGCCGGUGGUUUUGACCCAACGAAUUAUUAUUGCUAGCUGACCGAGUCGUUACAAGGUAUCCGUUCUGAUUAGAAUAUAUGAGGCCUACAUUAAUAAACAAUUGGUAUCAGUUCUAUUUUGGACUGGUGGUGUCGGGUUUUAAUUUAAUUUAAAUCUAUAUAAAUUUGUACAUUAUAAUUAUUUUAAAAUUUACAAUAAAAGUUAUAAUUUAUAAAUUUAUAUGUUAUAUUUUAUUAAAAAAUAUUUGCAAUAUUUCUUUUUUUACAUACAUUAUAUAUAUAACUAGGUUAGUAUGCUAUUAAUAGCACCAAGUCAUUGGUGCUUUUUGGCCAUUGGAUUAAGUGAUGUGCGGUUAGGAUGAUGUGGGCCUCCUAGGGUUGAGUGGGUGGUUGGUUGAAUAGUAUAAUCUAACGGGUAAAAAUAAUCAAAGGGGUUAAUCUAACGGCAGAAAACUUGAUAGUACCAACUACUUGGUGCUAUCGAUAGCAUAUAUAUAUAUAGUAUGUGUUUUAAACUAAAAGCAUCAAUAUUUUCACAUUUAUUUCAAAAUUUAAAAUUUAAUUUUGAUCCAUUAUAAUUAAAAAAUUUUAAUUAUUAAUUCAAAUUCGAUAUCAAAAAUUAAAUUUAAUUUAUGAUUUAAACUCAAAUUUUAAUUUUAAUGUAAAAUAGAUGGAUAGGAAUGCUAUUUUUUAACAUAUUCAUCAUAACCGUUCGUUUUUAUUUGAAAUAGUUUUAACAAAUUAAUUAUAACCGUUUGUAGAAUUCGAUUUAUACACGAAUAUAAAUGUUAUUUUUUAACUGAUUGAUCAUAACCGUUCGUUAUUAUUUGAGAUAUUUUUUAGCAAAUUGAUUAUAAUUAUUUGUAGGGAAUUCCGUCUCUCAUUCCUAUGCGUUUUUCUAUAUAGUACAUAUAUUUUUUACAGAUUGAUCAUAACCGUUCGUUAUUUGAAAUUUUUUUACUAAACUAAUUGUACCCAUUCGUAGGGAAUAUAGAGAAUAUUAUUUUAUUCCUUUUUAAAUUUCGUCUGUCAUAGUCGGAAUUUCUAUACGCUUUUAUAUAUAGUAUAGAUAUUUUGAGAGAAAAAUGAGAUUUAUUUUAAAAAAUUAAUAUAGUGUAUUAAUAUUGGGAGGUGCAUAAAAUUACUUUUAAGAAGG